AAUGGGGGCAACCCUGACGCAGCGACGCCGCGUGGAUGAUGAAGGCCUUUGGGUCGUAAAAUCCUGUCAGGUGGAAAGAAACGUAUGGCAGCUAAUAUCUGUCGUAUUUGACGGUACCACCAAAGGAAGCACCGGCUAACUCCGUGCCAGCAGCCGCGGUAAUACGGAGGGUGCAAGCGUUGUUCGGAAUUACUGGGCGUAAAGCGCGCGCAGGCGGUUUGUUAAGUCAGAUGUGAAAGCCCUCGGCUUAACCGGGGACGUGCAUUUGAAACUGGCAGGCUUGAGUACUGGAGGGGGUGGUGGAAUUCCCGGUGUAGAGGUGAAAUUCGUAGAUAUCGGGAGGAAUACCGGUGGCGAAGGCGACCACCUGGCCAGAUACUGACGCUGAGGCGCGAAAGCGUGGGGAGCAAA
rnacentral:rRNA from 1 species